rnacentral:lncRNA from 10 species
CUCAUGUUCACAUAGUGUACCCUCUAGUGGCCACUUUGUGCAUGACGACUUAACCUCCCUUAUCAAAGUUGAGUGUAUCAAGGGUAGGAGUUGACCCACUGGUUCAAUCCGACUCUGAUUUUUGAAAAUUUGGAAUUGAGACCAAUUGAGAGAAGGCUUUUUUUUUUUUCUUGUUGGUAGAAGGCUGUAUUUGUAAAGCAUAAGCUCUGAAGCCACAGGCUCCGUAUUUUCCACACAAGGAAAGAAGAUUUAGAGUGAUACUAACUGCAAUAGAAGAUAAAUCUUCAAAUCUUAAUAGCUUAACGGAAUAGGUAGAACUUAACAGAUAGCACUUUACUUCUCAGUAACAUCAAGUCCAUGGUGGAGGAGGGAGGUGUUGAUGAUAGGGCAGGGGGCAUGCAGUUAUUCAGGGACCAAGCUCCUUUUAUCCUGUGGCUCCUAACCUCCUCCAAGGCUUUAGUUUUCAUCAUUCUGCCGGUAGAUUAGGAGAGAUAGAAAGUACAGAAUUUCAUGGGAGCUUAUAGGUCAGAAUUUGAAGUGGAAGCCAGAAGUGAGCUACGUGGUUACAUCUAAUGGCCCAUGUGGUCUAGUUACAUCCCCAGAAGAAAAAAAAGGAAUUUGCUGAACAACCAGCCAAUGCCUGCCACGUGGAAGAAACCAGUUGAUAGACAGCAAGAGGAAUGAACAGAUGGACUGAGAGGAAGAGAGGUAAAAUGGUGAGAAAAUCUCGAUGGCUUUCUAGGCUCUGGUGUCAGCCCCUUCCUGAGGCCCCACUGCAUCCCUGCAGCUGGAUUCUAAAUCAGUCUGCAUUGUGCUUUUACACAUAAUCUUCUUGUUAUGACACCUGAGGAGCAAGAAGUGGAGAAUUCUUAAGCAAGGAGGUGGUCUUUGUUCUGCAUUUGGAAGGAGCUAAGCUUACUGCAGGUGUAAUGAAGGCAAGUGGAUGUCGGAAAGCGGUACAAACUUGUGUAAAAGUACGGAAGGAAAAGUGACAACUUGGUGUGCCUGGAGUGAAAGGUUUCUUUUUUGGAGAGAUUUACACCUCGCUAUCUUCUCUGGCUGGCUCAACCUGAAGGAUCCCAAUUUUGAAAGAAAAAGCAUGUGAUCAGCAUGGGAGUUUCGACCUGCUCCGUUUCCGACCUGGGCCAGUUCACCCCUCCUUAGGCAACCUGGUGGUCCCCGCUCCCAGGAGGUCACCAUAUUGAUGCCAAACUUAGUGCGGACACCCGAUACGCAUAGCACACUACAGCCCAGAACUCCUGGACUCAAGCGAUCCUCCAGCCUCAGCCUCCUGAGUAGCUGGGACUACAGGCACAAAGACCUAUUUAUGACAAACCCACAGCCAAUAUCACACUGAAUGGGCAAAAACUGGAAGCAUUCCCUUUGAAAACUGGCACAAGACAGGGAUGCCCUCUCUUACCACUCCUAUUCAACAUGGUGUUGGAAGUUCUGGUCAGGGCAAUCAGGCAGGAGAAAGAAAUAAAGGGUAUUCAAUUAGGAAAAGAGGAAGUCAAAUUGUCCCUGUUUGCAGAUGACAUGAUUGUAUAUUUAGAAAACCCCAUCGUCUCAGCCCAAAAUCUCCUUAAGCUGACAAGCGACUUCAGCAAAGUCUCAGGAUACAAAAUCAAUGUGCAAAAAUCACAAGCAUUCUUAUACACCAAUAACAGACAGAGAGCCAAAUCAUGAGUGAACUCCCAUUCACAAUUGCUUCAAAGAGAAUAAAAUACCUAGGAAUCCAACUUACAAAAGAGAACUACAAACCACUGCUCAACGAAAUAAAAGAGGACACAAACAAAUGGAAGAACAUUCCAUGCUCAUGGAUAGGAGAAUCAAUAUUGUGAAAAUGGCCUUACUGCCCAAGGUAAUUUAUAGAUUCAAUGCAUCCCCAUCAAGCUACCAAUGACUUUCUUCACAGAAUUGGAAAAAACUACUUUAAAGUUCAUAUGGAACCAAAAAAGAGCCCACAUUGCCAAGUCAAUCCUAAGCCAAAAGAACAAAGCUGGAGGCAUCACGCUACCUGACUUCAAACUAUGCUACAAGGCUAUAGUCACCAAAACAGCAUGGUACUGGUACCAAAACAGAGAUAGAGACCAAUGGAACAGAACAGAGCCCUCAGAAGUAAUGCCACACAUCUACAACCAUCUGAUCUUUGACAAACCUGACAAAAACAAGAAAUAGGGAAAGGAUUCCCUAUUUAACAAAUGGUGCUGGGAAAACUGGCUAACCAUAUGUAGAAAGCCGAAACUGGAUCCCUUCCUUACACCUUAUACCAAAAUUAAUUCGAGAUGGAUUAAAGACUUAAAUUUUAGACCUAAAACCAUAAAAAUCCUAGAAGAAAACCUAGGCAAUACCAUUCAGGA